UCCGAGUCCUAUGGCAGCAGUCAUAACAACCCGCUCGCGCUGCAGCCCCCACCGUUUCCGCAACUGGGCGUGCGACUUUGACAUCAUUGAGCCUUGCCUUUAAGGGAUUCAGUGUCAGGGGCUAUAAGUUUUGGCGGCGGUGGGGUGGAUGGGUAAAAACCAAAAAAAAACACACACCCGCCCCCUCCUACUCCUUCCAAUGCGUGACUGCCCAUCCCCUCUUUCCAAACCGGUGCGAGCAAAGUUAGUGGCACUGGGCAGCCGGCAGUCAGAUUCAAGGGCGAGACUCUGCCGAGUCCUCGGGCUCGCUCCACCGAUCCUGCUCGAAACGCAUGCCCGCGAAACUCCGGUGCGGGAUGGGGACAUGGGGCGCAAAGUGUGCGCCAGAGGAGCGAAUGAGAGCGAGCGAGUGGAAGAUGGCAAGGACGAGGGGGGGGGUGACUGCAGCCCAGCCUUGUCCUCAAGCACUAUACCAAGCCAGACAGAAUCGACUAAAAACCAGGAAUGCACUGUAACUUUAUAAGGUUUUUU